UUCGGGCGCUGACGAGUGGCGGACGGGUGAGUAACGCGUAGGAACCUGCCCCGUAGAGGGGGACAACUUAGGGAAACUUAAGCUAAUACCGCAUACGCCCCCUACCGGAAGGUGGGGAGGAAAGCGGGGGACUGGUGUUCUUCGGAAUGGCGGCCUCGCGCUAUGGGAUGGGCCUGCGUGGGAUUAGCUGGUUGGCGGGGUAAAGGCCCACCAAGGCGACGAUCCCUAGCUGGUCUGAGAGGACGACCAGCCACACUGGGACUGAGACACGGCCCAGACUCCUACGGGAGGCAGCAGUGGGGAAUAUUGGACAAUGGGCGCAAGCCUGAUCCAGCAAUACCGCGUGUGUGAAGAAGGCCCGAGGGUUGUAAAGCACUUUCAAUGGGGAGGAAAAAGGCAGGCCCAAUACGCCCGCCCUUGACAUUACCCAUAGAAGAAGCACCGGCUAACUCCGUGCCAGCAGCCGCGGUAAUACGGAGGGUGCGAGCGUUAAUCGGAAUUACUGGGCGUAAAGCGUGCGUAGGCGGCCUGUCAAGUCAGGUGUGAAAGCCCCGGGCUCAACCUGGGAACGGCACUUGAAACUGGCGGGCUAGAGUUGGGUAGAGGGGAGCGGAAUUCCGGGUGUAGCGGUGAAAUGCGUAGAUAUCCGGAGGAACACCAGUGGCGAAGGCGGCUCCCUGGACCCAAACUGACGCUGAGGCACGAAAGCGUGGGUAGCAAACAGGAUUAGAUACCUUGGUAGUCCACGCCGUAAACGAUGUCGACUAGCCGUUGGGCCCUUUUAGGGCUUAGUGGCGCAGCUAACGCAUUAAGUCGACCGCCUGGGGAGUACGGCCGCAAGGUUAAACUCAAAUGAAUUGACGGGGGCCCGCACAAGCGGUGGAGCACGUGGUUUAAUUCGAUGCAACGCGAAGAACCUUACCUGCCCUUGACAUC
rnacentral:rRNA from 1 species